UUUCCGGGAAGUUAAACACCUGCUAGACUUUGAGCGGAAGCUGAGGGAGACUGGCAACGCUUGAGGCUGAAUCCUGCCGUCUCUUUCACCUGCUGCUCGUGAGCAGUUAGCAAUCAAAUUCGUGAAAAGAGCGAAUCCAGAAAUAGAGAAGACAUGAAAGAGGAUGAAGAAAUGAAAAUACAUCUAAAGCAUUCAGAAAUCACCAGGAUACAGGCUGAAUCAUACUUCAGGCCCAGGGAAGUGGAAGUCAUGUCAAUCUUGGACCAGUCAAAAGAAUCAACCUGAAAGCAACUUUACUAUGAUCAUAUGACUGAUGGAAGAUGGUUUAUGAACCCCGAAAAAAAUCCAGAACCUUGUAUAGACUGUAAACUUUGGGAGGACUAUAUGGGCUGGAGUGCCCUGUGAUACACUGCAGACCACUAGGAGUACAAUGUUCUUGUUCCCCAACCUCCGUUAUUAGACUAGACAGGAGGCCUAAUGCCUAAUAGGCCUACGUGCUUUUGCAGAAAUCAUAUCCCCCACUUAAAGACACUAUUGGGCCUAAUUAAUUUACAUCACUUGGGAAAAGGUCAUUUUUGGUUAGGAGCUUGAACAACACAAGCCUUCUUGAAACUGCAGAGUCUGUAACUCAAACUAACCUGUGUGGACCGCAAUGGACUGAAUUGUGUUGGAGCUUUAAAUUCAUAUGUUGGAGCGCCAAUGCCCAAGCUGAUGGUAUUUUGAGGUGGGUGUUUGUGAGGCAGUUAGGUUUAAAUGAGAUCACAGCGGGCGCAUGAUGGAGUUAGUGUCCUUAUAAGAUCAGGAAGAGACCAGAACUCGUGCUCUCUCUCUCUCCACCACGGGAGGAUUCAAAGAGAAGACAGCCACCUGCAAGCCAGGAGGAGGGCCAAUACCAAAGCUCAACCACGCUGCUCUCCAAUGUUGGGUUUCCAGCCUCCAGAAUUGUAAACCUCUGUUGUUUAAGCCACCCAGUUGGUGGUAUUUUGUUACAGCAGCCGGAAGUGACUGAGGCAGCUGGUUUCACGGGUUCUCAUCUGGAGAGGAAUUUACCUCAAGAUGAAUCAUACCUCACAACUCACCAUGUCUAAUUUAGAUGAGACUUCGGACUUAUUUAGAGUUGAUGCUGGAAGGAGUUAGGAUUUGGGGGGCUGUUGGGAUGGGUGAAUGUAUUUUGCAUGCAAGAAGGACAUGAAUUUGGGGGAUCCAGAGGCAUAAUGUUAAAUAGACUGAAUGUUUGUGCCCCCCCUGCCAAUUCAUAUGUUGAAGCCCUAAUUCCUAACGUGAUGGUAUUUGGACAUGGGGUCUUUGGGAGAUAAUUAGGCUUAGAUGAGGUCAUGGGGUGGGUGGGGCCCCCAUGUUGGGAUUAGUGUUCUUAUAGGAAGAGGAAGAGACAGCAUAGCUCUCCUUCCCCCAUAUGAGGAAGCCGCUAGCCUGCCAGGAAGAGAGCUUUCAUCAGAAACUGACCAUGCUGGCACGGUCAUCUCAGACUUCCCAGCCUCAAGACCUGUGAAAUAAAUGUCUGUUGUUUAACACACCCAGUCUAUGAUUUUUUGUUAAAAGCAGCCUGUGCUGACUAAUACAGACACCAAUGCAGAAAUGAUAUUCAAAGUGUCAACCACCCUGCCUUCAUGCAGACUCAAGUCUUCUUGGCAAAAGCCCAUAAUCGUGGUCAGCUAGAAAAUUAUCUUAUACUGCUCAGAUACACUGUGGUGUAUUUCUUUUAAAGAUAGUUACUAGCUAGUUAUUGGGCGUUUGCUAUGACAGCCCCAUUAACUGAAGAACAUAAAAUUACAUCAACUGCUGAAUUACCUCCAUGUCAUGAGUAGUAUCAAAAAAGCAUCCCAACAAGAAGGGAAAUGUUGAAUUCCUUCAUAAAAUGGAAGCGGUGUUACAGCCGUGAUACAUAGUGGGACUCAGCCUACCCAUAACUUAUUCACGAGCAAGUAGCCUGUUUUCCACUAGGAGCUCCGAAAAGGCCAUCUGAAGACUUGUCUGCUGCUCUUACUUAUGGGCCUCAUCAUUCCAGCAAUUUCCCAAGGAUAUGAGGGACUUGGCCCGAUUCACAGGUGGCAGUUCCAGAAUGGAGAGCCGUGGCUCCGUG